AACGCACAUUGCGCCCUUUGGUAUUCCGAAGGGCAUGCCUGUUCGAGCGUCAUUAUCACCCCUCGAGCCUCGUGCUUGACGUUGGACGGUUUUGGUCGGGCACCCCCCGACCCCUCCUAAAGACAAUGACGGCGGCUUGUGGUUCCCCCGGUACACUGAGCUUCUCACCGAGCACGUACUGGACAAGGGCGCCCGGGCGCGGUCUUCUUCCUUGCAUAAGGAAAAUUUUACCAGGUUGACCUCGGAUCAGGUAGGAAUACGCGCUGAACUUAA
rnacentral:misc_RNA from 1 species